UUACCGUUUCACUACUCAUUGGCGAAUUGCAUGAUGCGCAGACAUUUCGACAAUUGUUUGUAUGGCCCCAAGGUGGGACGAUGAUGCGUAGGUGUGCUAUAUAUACACACAUACAUAUGUAUGAGUGUUUGGGUAAUAUUGACGGGCGAUCGUCUAAAUUUAUGUUGAUCUAUAUAGUAAGAUUACAAAAAUAUAUAUGUAUAUAGAACUUGUAUAGAUAAAGCGAAUUGCCAAUAAAUCACAAGUAACAAAAUUUAUACUUCAAGUUAAAUACACAAACAGACACAUAUGUACAUACAAAUAUGAACACAUCUUGACAAACAUAUGUACACAUUUAAGUAUAUAUUUACUCUGUGAAGAUGUACACAGAGCAAUGCAUGUAAAUAUAAAGGUGAUCGUGGCAAUGAAUGCUGUUUUCUUAGUACGAAGAAACAAAUCGCAUUGCUGUCAGCCUCAAUUAUUCGCUCAUUUUGUGAAAAAAAGUUUAAUUGUUUGCUUUCACAAGCAAUUUCGUAAGAAAUUUUCGCAAGGAAUCUCAAUGUCCGUAAAGUGGAGGAUGGCGGAAUGCCGAAGUGGGUUGGGUGUCAACCGAAAUUGAGAGGGAUUAACGGAAAUCCAAUACAAACUAAAUAUACUAUCACGCCAACAAAUACAAAUAGUUUUUAAAAAAUUCUAAAUUAAAUAUUUUUUUAAAUUUAUUAUACGCUUUCAAAGCCUUAUACUAUUACUAUCCACUAUUAUUAUUAAACUAUUUAUUUUAGCAACAGCAAGCGUUCGUAAAUUCGCAGCAAUUAACAACGAAAUGCUACUAAAGCAGAUCACAUGAAAUCAAUCAAUCUGUAGAAGCAGGAGAGCCGAACAAUAGCAAAGCACACUAAUCUCCACUCCAUUGCACAGAGAUUACGCUAAUCUUUUGUCUUAUCUUCUUAUGUCUUGUCGAUUUUUUAUAUUUUUAGUUUCCUUACUUUCACACAUAAUACUUUGGCGAUAAUUUUUUUUUUUGUUUUUGAGCGAAAAAAACGAUGCAUUGCCAUAGUGGCGUUGCGGCGGUAACCUUAAAAAUUGUCGGCACGCAUCUGAGGUUCGGCUGCAGCUCGUGUUAAUUACACUGUACAGUUGUGAAAUGUUUAUAACGAAAUCGGUGAGAAAUAUUAUAAUGUUACUAGCAAAAUUGUGUUGUGAUAUGUUUCUACGAUAUUCAUUUAGAUUUCACGAAACGAAAUAACUUCUCUUCGCUAAAUUAACUUCGCUAAUUGACUCAAUUAAGGCUCAACCUAAUAGCCUUUUCGCAUUUAGUUUAUAUUUGAGAAAUCAGUUUUUGCCUUUCGCACAGCCAGUUACUCGAUUAUAUAUUUUUGUUUGUGCUGUUCAUAAGAAGUUAGUUAGAAGUUAGAUUCAUCAGCUGGUUGCUAUUUUGUCAAUAACCAAAAAUUAGUAGCGUUGUCAACAAACCGCAGAAUGGCACUCCAUUGUCUACUCGAUUUGUAUUCGAUUAAAGAUUAAUGUUGAAAAAUUAUAUUUUAAUUUAGUAUGGUAAAUCGAUCUAAAUCAACGAGAUAAUCGAGCAAUGGCUGGUUAAAUGAUCAAUUAACUGCUGUGCGAAAAUGAACAAUGUUCAAGAACAUUUAAAAUUCAUAAUUUCAGAGAAGGAAUUAUUUUUUAGGAGAUGCCUUCCUCGCAAGGUAAUUAUUUAAAAAAGGUAUCGUCAGUACCUAUGAAAUUAUAGGUUCGUAUUUUUUCAUAAUUUCGAAACAAAUAAAAUAACAGAGACAUACUUGAAUAUAAAAAUGGCAUAAAUGAACUCGAAAAAAAACUGCGAAUGCCGUAACAGUAAUCUAUUAAAUCUCAUAACCAGUAAAGAAUUCUUGAAAGUAUGAGCUUAUUUCUGUUAAUUGUGUCAAUAAUACACUUUAAAACGAUGACACAGAUCGAAAGCAAACAAUUUUUAUUGAACUCAAACUCUUCACGUUGUUUCACAGUGUAGCAUUGUGAUUCAUUGGUCACUUUAUGCAUUUCGCAAAUCGUCUGCCACACUUCACAGCACCGCACAUACCGCACACUCUCUCAUCGUGUCAGUGCAUUGCGUUGUUGCUAUUGUUUUUGUUUUUCAUCGCUCUAUUAGAUAACCGUUUUGCAGUGUAGCAUUAGAGGAAAAUAUUGAAAAUCUCCUGUGAUUUUAUGACGAGUGAAUUUAUGUUUUUUAACAGUAUUUCGCAACUGAACACCUUACAUACACACAUAUAUACCGCUACAAGUGUACAUAUGUACUAUAUGGUAGCGCCUGCAAAGCGCACGGCGCCGUUAAUGGUAAUAAUUUACUCACCUUGAGUAGACUUUUUGGUGGCGCAUCCGCUGGAUCGGGUCUUUUGAUAUUCAAAAACGAGUUCCGCACAUCCGGACACUUCUCGAACAUUAGCACACGCUCUGCCACCGAGCCGCGCGUAAGUAUCGGUCGACCAACUAGUUGAGCAGAUAAAUGCUUGUGAUUAAUAUUCAAAUUUUCAAAACGUUGCUAAAUCUUUGAAUAUGUGAAUAUGUACAUAUGUAUGUAUGUCAAUGGGGUAAAUACUUUUUUGCUGCCGCUUUACCAUAUUUGUCCUGUCCAUUGGUCAGCGUACGUCCAGUUUUGGCAAAUUUACUAGGUGUAGUUGUUGUCGCGCCACUUGUUGCCGCAGGCAUAGCUGCCAUACCGUUCUCACCCGUAGCGCCACCAAUUGUAGAGCCUGUCGCUGCUGCUCCUGUACCGUUGCUAUUAGCCGUUUUUGUAUCCUUUUUAGUGCUC